AGUCUUGAUGCAUGCAGCCGUCAGCAUCCACAAAAGCACUGGCAUGUGACAUUUAACAAGGGACCAGUAUCAGCAGUGAGAAUAACAAACCAUUGAUUCCAAGCUAUCCGUUAAGUUUUAAGUUGCAAUGGAAUGCAAGGCACAAUAUACUUUCUUUUUGGCAGAUAGAUAUGAGCUGUGUACGAUAGAGAAGAAAAAAGACAAACCUGGC
rnacentral:lncRNA from 1 species